AUAGUUUCGUAGAAAAUAGCCAUCCCAGAAAAAGGAUUUUAUAUUUAAUCCUAUUAUCGCUUCAGGCUCUAUGAAGACGAAUCGAGACAAAAAAACAAUUCGAGUUCUGUUUCUACUAUGCAACUACAUUGUGGAAAUCAGAGGCCACCGAUUUGCUUGUUUGUUUUAAAGAGACAAAAACUCUGACGCUGCGAUAGCCACGUCACCACAGUCAAUCACUUCUCGACAAACGAGCCUUUCCUAGUCACACCAACGAAACCGUUGCCAGCGAAAACCCAGACGACAAUCGUAUGUAUACCGCCAACGAACGCGAAUAAAACACCUGUUUUCGUUUGCCCCGGCUCAUCCGGUUUCCCCUUCAUCUUCAGUUUCUUUAUUGCGUUCGUCAGAGCAGGCAACGAUGGCUGCUUGAUUUUUCACCCGUUUGUUCUCCUCAGCCAAAGCCACUGGGCCUCGAGCAGAGCAGAAGCGUUCCUUGCGAUUCUGCCUUUGCCAUAUCUUCGGCGCGAUUCAUUCAACUGUUCGUUUAGUUAACCAACAACGAAAUCGCGGACGCGUUCCAGACACGCAACGGUAUUACGAUAGCGGAUCACAAGUGAUGCUGAUGACGCUACACCGAUAGAGGGCAACGAUUUUUAGCCUCCAGUUAACCGUUUUCACCUUGAACGCGUAGCGAAAAUUUUCCCACUGUCUCAUCAUUCCCGCCCUCCGUACAAGCUCGAUACUCCUGUUGUGCGUAUGUACGCGUAUAAGAAAUGAGGACAUAUGACGAUGCUGUGGCCUGGUUGGCCUAACCGUAUUGGAGCGGUUUUCACUAACGAAGGACAAGAUUAUGAAGCAAAAUCCUCCCUGUCAUUGUUAGCAGUUUACCGAUCUGACUUUCUACGAUGCAUUAAGUACGACUUAUGUGAUCAAGAUGCGCUCCAAGCGAUAUAGGAGCAAUAGCGGAGUUAACCGUAACAGUGUUAGCAUUGAGUAUCAAUGCUCUAACCAAAAGGGACAAUGAAAUAAACACACUGUUGUACAACUACGAUUGGCGGCGCGCUUAGCUUCAUUUCGCUAUGUCGCUGAUCUCGACCCAGAGCACAAAGUAGCUUAAUCCUUCCGCCCAGUGAUCAUAUUCUACGAUCCAGUCGGAUAAAGUCUCGCUUUUUUUUCCUUAAACUUUUUGGCUGUUACUCGGUCUUCGCUUGCUAUCCUUAGCCUGUAUUCCUGACCGUAGGACGAGUGUGAUUCCCGCGAUUAAUUCCUCCCGUCAAUACAGUUGAUCAUCAAGGAGGCCGCAGAAAGGAGCACAAGGUCGGAACAACAGGAACUGAUAUAGCUAACGUAGAAGCAACGUGCCAAGGUUCACAGGCUUUACGAACAAACCCAUAGGGAAAACAUCGAAAAAAUAGGGCCUCGUCAUAAAAACUUCAACCAAGGCACCUCGCAUGCUCGCUCUACAGCUCGAUCGAAGUCACAGAUACAACCAGAAAUGACCAGGCACUCAGAAGAGGGACGCGUUUAAGUUUCCUAGAAACCAGCCUGCAGCUACUGGCCAGCUUCUGCUUGCAUUGCAAAUUUAUGGUCACUGCUGGUUCAUCAACAUAAAGAUCGUCGUCAUAUGAACGGGUCGAAGGCGUUUCUCCAUAGCUUUUCCUGCGAAGCUCGCCCUAAUCUUACCGAAUCGACAUUAGAUAAAGCGCCGUGUGCUUUUGCGUAAUAUACGGAUCAAGACCUACACAAAUGCAGAUUGGACGUCGCCAAGCACGAGCUGAACACGAAAGGAUAAAAGAUUUGUCAUAUGCAUGGAAGAGAAGUGCUUGAUAGAUGUGGUUGAUAAAUAAUAA